rnacentral:rRNA from 1 species
GUGGGGAAUUUUGGACAAUGGGCGCAAGCCUGAUCCAGCGACGCCGCGUGGAGGACGAAGGCCUUCGGGUUGUAAACUCCUUUUGGAGGGGAAGAAUAAAUUGACGGUACCCUCAGAAAAAGCCACGGCUAACUACGUGCCAGCAGCCGCGGUAAUACGUAGGUGGCGAGCGUUACUCGGAAUUACUAGGCGUAAAGCGUAUGUAGGUGGUUAGAUAAGUCUAUGGUGAAAUUUCCUGGCUUAACUGGGAAGGGACAUAGAUACUAUCUGGCUUGAGUGUGGGAGGGGGAGACGGAAUUCCUGGUGUAGCGGUGAAAUGCGUAGAUAUCAGGAGGAACACCGAUGGCGAAAGCAGCUUACUAAGCUACAACUGACACUGAAGCACGAAAGCGUGGGGAUCAAACAGGAUUAGAAACCCUGGUAGUCC